UUCCGGUUGAUCCUGCCGGACCUGACUGCUAUCGGAUUAAUACUAAGCCAUGCGAGUCUUUGUAGUAAUACAAGGCAUACGGCUCAGUAACACGUGGUCAACCUACCCUAUGGACGAGGAUAAUCUCGGGAAACUGAGGAUAAUACUCGAUAGAUCAUAAUGCCUGGAACGGUUUAUGGUUGAAAUGAUUCGUCGCCAUAGGAUGGGACUGCGGCCUAUCAGCUUGUUGGUGAGGUAAUGGCCCACCAAGGCGAUUACAGGUACGGGCUCUGAGAGGAGAAGCCCGGAGAUGGGUACUGAGACAAGGACCCAGGCCCUAUGGGGCGCAGCAGGCGAGAAAACUUUGCAAUGUGCGAAAGCACGACAAGGUUAAUCCGAGUGUUUCCUGCUAAAGAGAUCUUUUGCAAGUCAUAAAACCACUAGUGAAUAAGGGGUGGGCAAGUUCUGGUGUCAGCCGCCGCGGUAAAACCAGCACCUCAAGUGGUCAGGAUGAUUAUUGGGCCUAAAGCAUCCGUAGCCGGCUCUGUUAGUUUUCGGUUAAAUCCAUGUGCUUAACUCAUGGGCUGUCGAAAAUACUGCAGAGCUAGGGAGUGGGAGAGGUAGACGGUACUCGAUAGGAAGGGGUAAAAUCCUUUGAUCUAUUGAUGACCACCUGUGGCGAAGGCGGUCUACCAGAACAUGUUCGACGGUGAGGGAUGAAAGCUGGGGGAGCAAACCGGAUUAGAUACCCGGGUAGUCCCAGCUGUAAACGAUGCAGACUCGAUGAUGCAUUGGGCAUGUAGCCAGUGCAGUAUCGCAGGGAAGCCGUUAAGUCUGCCGCCUGGGAAGUACGUACGCAAGUAUGAAACUUAAAGGAAUUGGCGGGGGAGCACCACAAGGGGUGAAGCCUGCGGUUCAAUUGGAGUCAACGCCGGG
rnacentral:rRNA from 1 species